ACUAUCGCCAACUCCAUGGUUUUGUGAGUGGGAACUACUUAGAGAGCAGCUCUAGAAAUCCAGAGGAAGGGAGGGCAGGUAUGGGCUAGGGGAGGAACUUUCUUACUGCACAAUGAAAAGAUUUAGUGAACUUUCUUAAUCUAAAGCAGGGUGGGAACAAGUAUAUGAAUGAUUCCACACCACAAAGCAUUCUGUGUAAUAGUUCUAUCAGACUUUUGGAGCUACUGCAAGGAGCACAGCGUUUGGAGAACAUCUGCACGGUGGACAGCAAAUGGCUGGGAUACCUUGGAAUUAGUCAGGAGGUGGAGAAAGAUGGGCCCCACCCUGAAGCAGUGUUUCUCUCUGCUUUCAUGGGAUAACCCUUCCUGGCCAAGCUAUCACAAGGAGAAGAAUGCUACCAUAAAUUUGUGGGGAUAUGCCAAAUGCUCUGAUCAGCAUUUAAACAGACUACAGCCUCCAUUAAAUGAAGACUGGCUCCUGAACUGGAAUGUUUUCAGAACCUGAAAAAGUUGAGAAAGUGAUGUCUGAGCAUUUCUCCUUUAGGAAAUCUCAUCCAGGAAGGAAAAAAGGGUUGGUACAAUCUGCCAGAGGUUUUCAUCAGUCUAGCAGACCAGCAGAGCUGUAGCAGUAAGUGUGAAAUGUCCCGCUGGACAACUGGAACCACCUGACAAAGAGUCAGUGCCCAAACACAAA